ACUAUAUGUUAUGAUAGACCAAUUUAUUUCUCUAAAGGUUCUAAGAGUGAUUUUAGUAAUGACAUGUGUCAUAGCAAACAAGUUAUAAUGUUUCUCAAUAAUAUAUAAAUGAUAAUAAUUUAGUUAUUAAGAAACCAUAACCUGUAGAUUAUAAAGAAAAAAACUAAAACUUAUUUUGUAUAACUAGUUGGUAAGGACAAAUUUUCUUUUUAAUCAAUGUUCAGUUCUCGACCGUUAUUUAUUUAUUCUUUAGUAUAUAUUUAUGGGUUAAUUUGAUGAAUAAUUAAUUAAAAAAUAUUAGAUUUGUAAUAAAAGGAUAGAGAAAAAUAGAAAAAGAAAUGAGGGGAGAAAAGAUAAUAUGAUUAGUUGAUGAAAUAUAGUUUUUUUUCUUCUGGUUAUUGGAUCAAAUUUUCCUAUAAUUAUAUAGCAUUUGUCCACUAAAAACCGGGAAACGCACACCCUCAACUCUAAACUUUAAGUCUAAAUUAGUUAACCCUAGGGAUAUAAAUAUCUUUUACCCUUUAUUAAAAAUGAGAGU
rnacentral:lncRNA from 1 species